rnacentral:rRNA from 1 species
UACAGAGGUCUCAAGCGUUGUUCGGAUUCAUUGGGCGUAAAGGGUGUGUAGGUGGCGCCGUAAGUCGGGUGUGAAAUUUCGGAGCUUAACUCCGAAACUGCAUUCGAUACUGCGGUGCUUGAGGACUGGAGAGGAGACUGGAAUUCCCGGUGUAGCAGUGAAAUGCGUAGAGAUCGGGAGGAACAUCAGUUGCGAAGGCGGCUCUCUGGACCAGCACUGACACUGAGGCACGAAAGCGUGGGGAGCGAACAGG